rnacentral:lncRNA from 1 species
CGGAGGCCGGGAACGGCCUCAUCAGAGGCAAAAAUCGAGGAGGGGCGCGGCGGCGCCGCUGGGUUUCGGCCGUGUUUUCUGGCAGUUUGGCCGGGAUUUUGGCUCCGAUUUGGCCACAGGGAAAAUCAGCGUGGAAAAACGAGUCGGGGGUAUGAAAUUUACCUCGAUCGGCGGUCGGAAAUCCCUCCGGUGCGGCAGCGGGUGGCGGCGGCCGGCUUCUGGUUCGUCUUCU